GCCAUUGAUUGCUCUUUCACUUACAAUUGCUCUUUCUACUUGCCCAAACAAAAUAAAAAAAAUCAGCAGUAAGUAAGAGCAUCAAGCAUCUCUAUUCCAAAAAUACCACACAAAAGAAUCAAAUUUAUGGCACACAGUGGUGCAAAUAAAUCCUUUUUCAAUCUCACUCCUCCAAAAUGGUUUCCAAAUAAGGGUUUUUGAGAUGCAGCAUGCAAAAAUUAUGAUCCAUAAAAGCUUCUAUGAACAAGACGCCAGUCAAUCGACAUGAAAUUCAGUUCAAAUGAUCUGCAGGGAUUUUUUUUUUUGUCCUUUCAACCAAGAUCUGCCCAUUUUUCUGAGGGCUAUAAUAUCUAGUGAAGGUACGGUGCAUGGAAGUUGUUUUUCGCUGCAGAAGACAUGAGAAGGCUCAUCUUAUGCUGACUAAUGUUUGUAAGAAUUCUCAGCUGAUCGGAUUCAGUUGGCACGUAUCAAACUCCUAUAAGUUAAAACUAGCUGUUGCGUACUAAAAGCAUAUGAUAUACUUGUACCAGGCUAUGAUAAUGUACCAUCUACUUUGCUCCUGUCUCUAGGAUUACUACAUCUGAAACUUCUGAUAUUCUGCAAUCUCAGACUUCAGGGAGAAAGUUCUUAUCCCUUCUUUUUCCCUCAAUCUUUGCUACUUUGAUUUAUAAGUUGUAAUGUUCAUGUAUUGUACUCCCUAGCUUUUAUCUUUACAUAAUAAAUUGUGAAGAUUAUGUUAAUUUAUUACAGGGAAUAGAGUUCUUGACAGUGCUGGAGACUUGGAUAAAUCAGAGUUAGCUAAGUGCACUCGAUUUGUUGUAUCUUCCAUUAUUAAGCAGUUGUAAUAGGGAAACCGAGGGACACAAGUGUUCUUUUGUAGUGACAAAAGUGUACCACGAAUUAUAUGUACGUUGUCGUUCAGUUUACUUAAAUUCUUGAAUAUGUUUCAGGGUCUGGUAAUUUGAUAAAAUAGAUUUUGGUUUCAGACUCGGUUGUAAAGAAGUAAAAACAGGUGCAUUUUGUUUGA